rnacentral:miRNA from 1 species
CUGCAUCUACAACUGAAAUACA